rnacentral:tRNA from 1 species
UAGCUCAGUUGGUUAGAGCGCUGCCUUGACAUGGCAGAGGUCGGUUGUUCGAGUCAACUCGGACGCACCA